AUUGAACGCUGGCGGCAGGCCUAACACAUGCAAGUCGAACGAGUGGCGGACGGGUGAGUAAUAUCUGGGACACUGCCUGAUGGAGGGGGAUAACUACUGGAAACGGUAGCUAAUACCGCAUACCAUCGGAUGUGCCCAGAUGGGAUUAGCUAUUAGGUGGGGUAAAGGCUCACCUAGGCGACGAUCCCUAGCUGGUCUGAGAGGAUGACCAGCCACACUGGAACUGAGACACGGUCCAGACUCCUACGGGAGGCUGCAGUUUGGAAUAUUGCACAAUGGUCGCAAUCCUGAUGCAGCCAUGCCGCGUGGAUGAAGAAUGCCGUCGGGUUGUAAAGUACUUUCAGCGGGGAGGCAUUACCCGAAGAAGAAGCACCGGCUAACUCCGUGCCAGCAGCCGCGGUAAUUC
rnacentral:rRNA from 1 species